rnacentral:lncRNA from 1 species
CCCCGACACAUUGAAUUCUGGGAGCUUGCAGCAAAGACUGCAGUGGGAAGGAAUGAAUCUGAAGGACCUUGGUAGACACAGAAACAGAAAAAAUCAGCCACUGUCCAAAAGAAGUUGGACCAUGGAACCAUACUCUUGGAGUGAGCUUUUACUGAGCUCUGCAAAAGACAGUGGGGAAGAUUUCUGAAGAGUUAGAGCAAAGAAAAUUGUGCGUGGCUUCCCGGCCCCUGGGAACAGUGCUGCAGAAACCAUCAAAUGAUACGC